rnacentral:misc_RNA from 1 species
CAGCCUUCGCAAGUUUCGCUGUCUUGUGUGUUUCGCUCUUCUCUAAACCCUCCCUCUCGCUUGUAGUGGCGGCGAAGAUAAAAGGCGACAGCUUCAGUAGGCCAUCAACAGAGACACAUACGCCAUCACCCCCCACCCCACCCUGUCCGUCUCUCACCAGCAGCCCAGGCUCACGUUUACUUUGGGGCGUGAAGCGCGCAGCUAGCACACGUGCGCGGACCACCUUGUAUUCUCGCGCUGCUCCUCCUCCCCUCCCUUCAGGGUCUGUAACGCACUUCAUUCGACGGACGCAGAUCCGUCGUGGAUCCGCGUCGGUGCACCUGUGCGUGCGCUCCGGACUCGUGCAAUGGAUGCCGCUGAGGGCGGCGGCACGCACGUCAUUCAACUCGUGAGUGACGACUACUUCCCCUCUGAAAUCGAUGAGAGAGAGCCCCAGCAGCAGCUCAGCGGUAGUAGUUCUCGUGAUGGCGGCGCAUCGGCGCAACUGGGUAUGACCGCGGCCAGCUGGCGGAAGCUCGAGGCGUACAUCUACUCCGACGCCGCGGUAUUGGAUCUGCGGUCGCACGCGUGGAUUUCCAUUCCCAGCGCAGAAGCGCGGAGGCGCCGCUGGCGCCUCGUGAACUGCAUGCACGAACAGAACCCACCCAUCUCUAUCACCAUCACGGAUCUUUCUUCGUCGGUGAAGCCGGGUAAAGCACCUUUCCCCGCGGCGUCUCAGGAGGCCACGGCCGACCACCAGACGGCAAAGGCGCCGCCACACGUCGCCGCGGCUCCGCCUCCUUCGGUUUCCUCCACCCCCUUGCCGUCUUCAUCACCCACUGCCAGCACGAGCAUACUCGCUACGAACGCCUCGCAACACGGCGCUGCUUCCCCGCACGUGGUACGCGAGAGCGAAAGCAUCACGGAGGGCGGGAUUUCGCGGGACGUGUGUAUGCUUAGGGAUGGAACAGUAAAGGCGAAAGAUUGGCAUCCGCCGAUGAUUGUGCCAGACUCAGCAGGCGCUCGAAACACAACGGAGUGGCGGCUGUCCGACGCGCCGUACUUAGCUCGUGGCUUCACAAGUGACGUGUUUCCGCUCGAGUGUCGCCAACUGCUCGAGGACUUUCCCAUGGGUUCGCGGGCGGAGAACUGGAGCAUGUUUGUUGUGGCGGCCACACUCAGUUUUUAUCAACGGCAAGCGCACAUGUGGGCGGCCUCGUGGUGGACGUGGAGUGCCGAGCUGGCUGGAAGCGGCGGCAGCUUGUCCAGUCGGUGGCUGGCUGCGCCAAGUACAGCUGCUCCCGCGAAUGGGAGCGGUUUGGGCAUGGCAGGGAGCGUCAGCAGCGCUGCUGUAGACAGUACCGCUGCCGACGCCGCUGCUUCAGCGGUGCUUGCACCACUAGUAUGCGUGGUGUAUGCGGUGCGCAUUCUGCUCCUCUGCGUACUGUACGCUCUACAGGGCUUGCUACGCGCUGGGCGCCUUGCGUGCGCCAGGCUUUUACGGUUAGAGGCGUCGUCCACUCUUCCAGCGAAGGACUCCAUCAUGUGGACCCUUGCCACGAACAAGCUGUGGCGACUGCAGGUGGAGUUGAUGCUCGCCAGCACCGCCUUCAUCCUGCUUGUUGUGUACGUGCUGGUGCUCAUGCGCUACCGCAAGUACACGCAGACGUUGGAGUCGUGGGAGACUGCGAUGGCGCGCCACACUGCGGGAGAGGCGGCGAAGUGGGCGGCGCAAAUGAAUGUCCGGCAGCGAGGAGUGCGCACCCCAACGCCCGCGGCCGUCUACGCAGGAGAGUCCCUCCACGACAGCGCGAGCAGCGGCAGCGGUGGCAGUACCUUCCAGGCUCCUAUGAAGGCGUCCUCGACGCCUCUGAGUGGCCAAGGGAGCUUUCAAGAGGAAUCGCUGGAGAAGACUCUGCGAGGGGCGUCGGACAGCGCCGCCGAACGCCAGGACCAGUCUUUUUGGUACGUUGACGUGAAGAGUGAGGCUACCGAGGCCGCCGCCUCCUCUGUCUCCUUCCCGCGCCGCCGGCCCGAAAGCAGCGAUAGUGGCACAGACGACACCCUGAUAACUCAAUCGUCUGGCGAGAUGCCUCAGGGCCCUUUCCGCGGUCGUGGCGCUGCUGCUGCCGGCGGCGUGGACGUAGCCGCGGGCAGCACCGCUAUGCCGUCAAGCCUACCGGCUAGCGUUGCCUCGCUCACCGGGAGCCUUUCGUUGCCGCUGGUGAUUAGCGAGCCGCUGCAUGGGAGUGGUCGUGGGCUGUGCAGCAGCAACGGCAGCGGCGCCGUUCACGCCCAGCGGGCCAGGUCGCCGUGGCUGUCAGCAGUGUUGGAGUCUUCGAAUGCGUCCGACGGACCGGGCGACCGAACGCUACCGUGGAGGCACGCCACGCCACUGCAAGCCUCUGAAGGCGCAUCGAGCGGCUCCGCAACGCCGCGGAGAGUGGAAGCAGCGCCGCGAAACCGAAAGUUCAGUCGAACAGCAGCGCGGGCCCAGCCUGUGCCCUGUGUCUACUCUGCCUCCACGUCUGUGGAUCAGGGCGCAAGCGCGGAUGACGGCCACGUCAUCGUUACGAGGGCUUUGCCUGCAUUUUUCAUGGAUACGUCACCGGCGUUUGUAGCUGCCGUCACAGGGGAUGCUGUUUGUCUCGAGACCAGCGUAGAGCAAGGCGCCCGCGCGAGCGGUAAUGCUGGUAUGAAUCAGGACAGGAAGGGGGAGGACGGCGUGGAGGCGAGGCGGCAAUCGCCGCAGCCCGCGUGCACUCCCAAUGGCAAGGCACUGCACUUGCUCCCGCCUCGCCCAACUGCCGCCCGUGAGGAUGAGACAGGCAGCGCAACUCGAACCUUUCACGAAGGUGCUCUGGCGGCGUUGGCGUCGAUAGAAACGAUGAUGAACUCGGAAGAUAGUUAUCUGCUCCUCUCACCUUAGGGGGGGGGAAGGCAUUGUGGUGCGCUGGCAUGCGAAUGCCCGCCGCCGUGGAUGCGGCGCGCCGACCCCACGCGACGCCACUGAGCCGCGUGUUCAUGUCUCUCCCCGCUCUGCGCGUAGCCGCACACCCGUUCCCCCGCCUGGCCAGCCCGCCCCCCUUAGGCAAAAGCCCACACUUGAAACGUUCGCGUUUGGCUGCUGCACGCUUGGAAAUAUGUACAUAUAUAUAUUUCAACAUGUCUGCUCGCUGCCACGGAACGUUAGUCGAACUUCAUUCUACCUCGGAUGUGUCACAGGUGCCCCAACCGCGCGGUGCGAAGCAUGUCGUAGGCACGCGCGUUACAGCAAUGCGCCGGCUCAGUCAUGCGAGAGGACGGCCCCUGACUCCAACUCGACUGGCCCACCUACCCCCUGCCUCGCAGGCCUUUCUGACGCGACGCCAUCCUGCGAUUCAACGCCGACAUCAUCAGCGAUGCAUCGCUCUCACCUUCCUUGCGUAGUGGGUGCUUGGCCCUGUCAGCACCAGAAGUGGUCUGGCAUGUGGCAGAGGUGGGGGGCUGCUUGGCCUCCGCUCACAUGCAGAGAGUGGGUGAGCCGGGCCGCGUGAUUGGAUGCACUGGGCGAUGCCCUCGCGCCGUCAUGACCACCUCGAAAACGUUUAUGUGAGCACAAUAACCUUUUUGUUGUUUGUGUGGUGAGAUCGUGCGACCCUCUUGUCGUUUUCGCCCGUUGUGCAUGGGUGACCGACCUCUCUGCCUCUGCCUCUGUGUGCGUUAGGGACGUUGGGGAGUGUCAGGUCUAUCGGUGCCAGCGUGCAUCUCUGUCCGCCUGUGCGCCUUCAAUUUCUUGGGCGUUUUUUUUUUCGCUCACACACGCACAGUGCGAUUUACGAGUACCUCUAUGUGUAUUCCUUUACCGACUCCCUCUCCAUGCCCACGUCACACAUGUGAGCGUCAUCCCCCCCCCCCCCCACCUGCACCCCCACCCUUACAGCCUACCAAGACCUCCCAUGGCGGCCUUGCUUUCGCGGUCGCUCUCCCCACUGGGUGUGGGCAGGUGUGUUGUUUGUUCAUCGCGUGUUCAUCUUGUGUGCGUACGUGCCAUCACCACCGCCUCUUCAGAUCACAACCAAAAAA